rnacentral:rRNA from 1 species
UACGUAGGGGGCUAGCGUUGUCCGGAAUCAUUGGGCGUAAAGCGCGCGUAGGCGGCCAGAUAAGUCCGGUGUGAAAGUCACAGGCUCAACCUGUGAAUGCCGCUGGAAACUGUCUGGCUUGAGUCCGGAAGGGGCGAGUGGAAUUCCUGGUGUAGCGGUGAAAUGCGCAGAUAUCUGGAGGAACACCGGUGGCGAAGGCGGCAUUCUGGACCAAUACUGACGCUGAGGAGCGAAAGCCAGGGGAGCAAACGGG